rnacentral:rRNA from 1 species
AACUCGGCCAUUUAGAGGAAGUACAAGUCGUAACAAGGUUUCCGUAGGUGAACCUGCGGAAGGAUCAUAGUAAUCGUCUUUGACGUUCGCUUUUCCCUCGUCCUCGGGACAUUAAGGUGCUCUGGUCGAGGAUAAACAACCCCUCUGACCGAGGUCAUACCCGUCGCCCCGUGUUACCUCCAAAAAAAACUUUUUUCCGAGGCACACCUUAAAGAUCGUUCCGCAUUGUGAGUCUAACACCAGUUGUAUAAACUUUUUACAACCGGUAGCGCUGGAUCCCUUGGCACGUCAUUCGAUGAAGACCGUCGCAAAUUGCGAUAAAGUGAUGUGAUGCGCAAGUCCACCACUUAUACGUGAAUCAUCGAGUUGUUGAACGCAUUGCACCGCGCCCUAAACCGGCUGCGGUAUGCCCCUUUGAGCGUCAUUGUAUUCCUUCGGGAGUCCUUUUACAAGGACCCGAGUUCAGAGUCCUCGGUCCUCUUCUGGAUCGUGUUCUCUUAGAUGCGUCGCACCGAUCGCCUGAUGGGUCCUCUAAUGCCUAAGCGUGGAGUUCCUUCAGAGUCCGACACGUACUUGACCAAGUGUUGAGCUUGCGUCACCAAGUCUGCCUAACAAGCAGUACUACAACACAUGACCUCAUUGGGGUAGGACAACCCGCUAGACUUAAGCAUAUUAAUCAGCGGAGGAAAAGAAACUAACCAGGAUUCCCUCAGUAACUGCGAGUGAAGCGGGAUCGGCUCAAUGUGUGAAUCUGGCGG